GCCUGCUCCAGCCAUGCAGGAGACCAGCACAGACCCAUCAGUGAAGCCUGUUCUCAACAAACGCUUGUAAAUGACUCACUCCUACUGGGGUCUAGAGGACGAUGGAUCCCAGAUCAAGUUGCUUGUUGCCUCAUUUGUCAAGUUCUGCCUGUACAUCGGCUGUUCUUCCUUACGAUAAAUCUGAAGAUCAGAAACACGGCGGAACAACAAGCACGCAGGACAAGUCCAUCCUGCCCAUAACACCCUAGAGCAGGCUCAAAGCAGGAAAACAGCAUGAGUCACAUUCAGCAACAGACACACGGGGAACCCUGCUCUCCCCUCUACCCUGAGGAGAAACAACAACACCUUCCCUGCCUGGGGAAACUCCUAC
rnacentral:lncRNA from 1 species